CCGCUUCUGCCACGUCCACCGGGCUGAGCCGAGCCGGGAAGCGGCCGGAGGGCGCCAGCACGUGUGCACCGACUUCCCCAACAUGGAACCUACCAGAUGUUUUGGAGUUUCCCAUCAGCCCCAGCCAGCAUUACAACUAGUCAUUGAUAAAGGAAGUUGUAGUUCAGACCAUCUGGAGGGUGACACUCUGGGGGAGACUGCAGAAUUCAGAAUUCUCUUGUGCUCGGCUGGGCCAGUUCCUCUUUUGGCAGCCCGUGGCCCUGAACAUCAGGAGUACUUCCUGGCUGUUACAGCAGCACAGCAAUGGAACCAGUGACCUAGGGAGGUUCUGUGCUUUCCUACACUGGAGGCCUUCAGGAUGCAGCUGGACAACACCUGUUGAGGAUACUUGAAGUUGGAAAGCUGCAUUGAGCACUGACGUUCAUUUUCUUCAAGUCUGAGCUGGCUUCUUGGACAAAGCAAGCCUCGGGCACCAAAGGCCCUCUUUGGAUUGUAAGCACUUCGAAACGCAAAGAAGAACCACCACUAGAGGUUUUCACCCAGGAAUCGAGCACAUCAAAAGCAGAAGGGGAAAGCUUGGGCGUCAAGAGACCCAGUUCGCUUGUAUCGUGCGGAGCUUAAUUUUCAGUUUGCUGUUUUGGAGGGAGACAAAAGGCCUGACUAAGAAGGAGAAUGAGGCAGCUUAAAGGGAAGCCCAAAAAAGAGACGUCCAAAGAUAAAAAAGAGAGAAAGCAAGCCAUGCAGGAAGCCCGGCAGCAGGUCACGACGGUGGUGCUCCCGACACUGGCCGUGGUUGUGCUCCUGAUUGUGGUGUUUGUUUAUGUGGCAACCCGCCCAAACACAACUGAAUGAGGUGGAUUUUGAACUCUGUAACUACGGGCAGUCAUACUGUUCUGCCAAGCACCAAAAACAAAAGAGGUCCCCAAGGGGGGGGAAGUCUUUUUCUGCUCUCCCAAUGAUUAAUCAUUGUUUUACAAAGGAAUCUUCUUUCUUUGACUUGAUUCAAGUGCCGCAGUUGCUCUCUCGGAAUGUUAUAUAAGAACGUAUUCGCCACCGUGGCAAAAAAACAAAAAAAUAACCCACACAGAAAAACAUUCAAUGUCAAGUUUAUGUGCCUUUUAGACUUCCAACAGUGGGUGAUUCUCCUUUUCAGAUCCCUGUGUCAUAAAAGUGAAUUCUGUUGCUUCUGAAAUGUGUAUAAAUUGGCUUUUAGCCUGCCAGGUCAUCAGCAAACAUCACUAGUGUAAUUUCCAUGAGUUCUUGUACAUUGGCUUCACAAUUUCCAAAGAAGUGGAAUUUCCCUUACCCUUUGUGAUUCUAUAAUAGCAUUUGAAAACCUUUGACUAAACAACAUAUUUAUUUUUGGAAUAAAGAAG